GGAACUGGAAACAGAGAGAUUCUGCAACUCUAAUAAACUGGCUUGAUAACUCUCUAUUUGAAAAAAAAAAAAAAGUAAUCAAGAUGAGGAAAAAUAAGCAAGAUGAACUGUGGGACGAUUCUGCCCUGAUUAACGCCUUCAAUGAUGCCAUCUCCAAGUACAAGAAAAUGCAUAUUCAAGGAAGCCAAGUCAGCUCAGCUGAUGGUCAAGAACAUGCUGGAAGGGUUGAUGAGAUAAGUGAUGACAACAAGGUUCCAUCAAACAGCGCUGCUGAAACAGAAGAAAAUGGUAAUGUGCCAACUGUCAAAGAAUCAUCUUUUUUGGAAUCAGAAGCUCCUGAAGACCAUGUAGUUUCAUCUACUGGGCAAGACAUCCAUCAAGAGCCUGAGGGUUAUCUAAACUUGCAGACGACUGAACACUACAAUCAGUUGGUAAACAAAUAUUAUGAGCUUGAGGAUCAGAGGCAAAAGAUUCUGCAGCAACUUAACCAGUUUGGUUAUUGGAAUUAUGAUUCUGGUUUAACUGCUUCCGUGUCUCAAGAGCCUGAAACCUCUACUUCCCAAGCUUAUCCAACAGUUCCAAGUUCUUUCUGUCCUUAUGGGUGUCAAAGUUGGGUAGCUCCAUGCACUUCAGUACCUUGUUAUUUCUCUGGUGGAGCUUGUGCUGGAAACUCUUGCAAUGCUUCUGCAAAAGGUGCUACUUCUAAAAACUUAACAUCUCCAGGAGAAACUGAUUUUGUUAAAACAGCAAUGUUUGCUGCAGAACAAGCACUGUCUUCCUUGAAGGCACAAGCUUGCACUAAUUGUGAUGCUUCUGUAAAUGAAGGGAAAGAGAAACAGUCACAGAAAAAUUUCUGUCAUUUAGAGAAAAGUACCAGUUCGGAAACAGAUCUUACUGUUGUUUUGAAUGCUUGGUAUUCUGCUGGUUUCUACACUGGCAAAAACCUCCAUCCAAAUCAGUGGGAUUAUGGGAGUGUUCUUUCAUUCUCUUCAAGUGCAGAGGGGCUUGAGGGUGAACAAACGUGAGUUGCUGCCGCGGUAGCAAUGGUAGUUGCUGUCACAGAAGAAAUGUUAGUUGCUGCCGCAUUUUGAAGGGAGGCGUUGGGAGGUCUCUCUGAGCGGUGUUGGUGGUUUUGCCGGGGAUUGCCAUUGAAGUAUUAAAAGGAGCAUGAUGAGGGAGAGAUCAUAUAGUGAGGAUUAUUGGUGGUUUCACUCUAAAGUCUAUGUUCUGAUUAUCGACUUCAAAGUUGUUAUGGUUGAAGUUGAUUUUCAAGAUAUCGACUUCUAUAAUUUUGGUAUCUUACCGAGCAGUCUUCUGCUAGGCACGGACAUGGCUAAGCCUCGCAUGUUUCAGCUAAGAAAAAUUGAAAUUUCAAGUAACUCGCAUCCAUGAUGCGUCCGAAGAAGAUCUUGCUCUACGAACAUCUAAUGGCAAACGAGAAGUGGUAUUAUGGUACCCAUGCUAUGACCAGGCAGCAAUGCCAUGGACUCUUUUGUUAGACAGCUAUGUGUGUGUUGCCUGAAUUGGUUUCACCUUUUUAGUUUCUUCUUCUCUGUACCAAGGGAUGUUUGAGUAUGUAUCAACGGAUCCUUGUAAAGUGGCAAUAUUGGCCAUUGGCAUCUUAUAAGAAAGCUAAUAUUCGGUACGUAG